rfam:Rattus norvegicus chromosome 11, whole genome shotgun sequence.
GGUGAAAUGGCUCAGUGGUUAAGAGCACUGACUGCUCUUCCAGAGGUCCUGAGUUCAAAUCCCAGCACCC